GCUGGGCGUGGUGGCAUGCACCUGUAGUCCCAGCUACUCGGGAGGCUGAGAUGGGAGGAUUGCUUGAGCCCAGGAGGUCGAGGUUGCAGUGAGCUGAGAUCACGCCACUGCACUCCAGCCUGGGCAACAGAGCAACACCCCAUCUCAA
rnacentral:SRP_RNA from 1 species